GACAGAGGGUGCAAACGUUGUUCGGAAUUACUGGCGUAAAGCGAGUGUAGGCGGUUUGGUAAGUCGGAUGUGAAAGCCCCGGGCUCAACCCGGGAAGUGCACUCGAUACUGCCAAGCUAGAGUGUCGGAGAGGUUGGUGGAAUUCUCGGUGUAGAGGUGAAAUUCGUAGAUAUCGAGAGGAACACCGGUGGCGAAGGCGGCCAACUGGACGAACACUGACGCUGAGACCCGAAAGCGUGGGGAGCAAACAGG
rnacentral:rRNA from 1 species